ACUGCUUACAAGGUGCUGCAUGGUUGUCGUCAGCUCGUGCCGUGAGGUGCGGGUUAAGUCCCAUAACGAGCGCAACCCCUAUCGUUAGUUGCCAGCAAGUAAAGUUGGGGACUCUAGCGAGACUGCCGGUGUAAACCGUGAGGAAGGUGGGGAUGACGUCAAAUCAGCACGGCCCUUAUAUCCAGGCUACACACGUGUUACAAUGGUCGGUACAAAGAGCAGCCACUUGGUGACAAGGCGCUAAUCUCAAAGCCGAUCUCAGUUCGGAUCGAAGUCUGCAACUCGACUUCGUGAAGUUGGAUUCGCUAGUAAUCGCGCAUCAGCCAUGGCGCGGUGAAUACGUUCCCGGGCCUU
rnacentral:rRNA from 1 species